CUAUAAACGCCAGGGAACUACGGGCUAGGCCUAAAACCCAAAGGACUUGACGGUGUCCCACCCAACUAGAGGAGCCUGUUCUGUAAUCGAUAACCCCCGCUAAACCUAACCUCUUCUUGCUUUUCAGCCUGUAUACCUCCGUCGUAAAUCCGCCCUGUGAAUGCCUAAUAGCGUGAUUCAAUUACCUUCCGUUAAUACGUCAGGUCAAGGUGCAGCCUAUGAAGAGGGGAGCAAUGGGCUACAAUUUCUAACUUAGAACAAACGAAUUACUAUAUGAAACUAGCUAUGAAGGAGGAUUUAGUAGUAAAGAGAAAUUAACGUGUUCUCUUUAACAUGGCCCUGGGACGCGUACACCCG
rnacentral:rRNA from 1 species